rnacentral:rRNA from 1 species
GGCCUUUAGAUUAUAAUUUAAGGUCUAACCUGCCCACUGAAAUUUUAAAGGGCCGCAGUAUUUUAACUGUGCAAAGGUAGCAUAAUAAUUAGUUUCUUAAUUAGAAGCUUGUAUGAAUGGUUGAACGAGAAAUUAUCUGUCUCAAUUUAUAAGUUAAAAUUUUAUUUUUAAGUCAAAAAGCUUAAAUGAUUUUAAAAGACGAGAAGACCCUAUAGAGUUUUAUAUUUAAUAAAAAUUUAAAUUUUAGAAUUUUUUAUAUUUUUAUAAUUAUUUUAUUGGGGUGAUAUAUAAAUUUAAAAAACUUUAUAUUGUUAUUAACAUAAAUUAAUGAAUUUUUGAUCCAUUAUUAAUGAUUAAAAGAAAAAAUUACCUUAGGGAUAACAGCGUUAUUUUUUUUAAGAGUUCAAAUCGAAAAAAAAGAUUGCGACCUCGAUGUUGGAUUAAAAUUAAUUUUUGGUGUAGAAGCUAAAAAAUUAGGUCUGUUCGACCUUUAAAAUUUUACAUGAUCUGAGUUUAAACCGGUGUGAGCCAGGUUGGUUUCUAUCUUUAAAUAAAUUAAAUAUUUUAGUACGAAAGGACCAAGUAUUUUUAAAAAUUAAUUUAUUUGAAUA